rnacentral:rRNA from 1 species
ACGGAGGGUGCAAGCGUUAAUCGGAAUUACUGGGCGUAAAGGGUGCGUAGGUUGUUUGAUAAGUUAUCUGUAAAAUCCCCGGGCUUAACCUGGGCAGGUCAGAUAAGACUGUUGAACUCGAGUAUGGGAGAGGGUAGUGGAAUUUCCGGUGUAGCGGUGAAAUGCGUAGAGAUCGGAAGGAACACCAGUGGCGAAGGCGGCUACCUGGCCUAAUACUGACACUGAGGCACGAAAGCGUGGGGAGCAAACAG